CGCAGACAGGACUGUGGCCCUGACAAUACUAUGAGCUGGCUGGGAAGAGGCUUGCUGCUGGCUUCUCUGCUCUUGGCUCGCUGGCCUCGGGAUGGAGAUUUGGGGGAACAUUCGUAGCAGCGGCUGAAGCCAUUUAUUUCGAGGAUCCUCCCUGUUUCUCUCCUACUCAGCAUUGACUGCCAGCUGACGUUUUUUCCUUGAAAGAACGGAAAGAUUCUUUCGGAAGCUCCAAGACCGAGUAAGUCUGCAGGUGUGCUCCCGGCUAACUUCUCUUUUGGGCACGAAGUGUUUUGACUUGUAUUUGAUGUUGAGGACAUUUUGUGAGCACACAGUAUCAUUUGGGCAUUUUGCCAACUGGUUGUGAGGUGUGUCUACUAGGGAGGACCAUUUGUAAACACAGAGAGACACUGGGGCCUUUUGUCAACUGGUUGUGAUGUGUGCCUACCAUGGAGGGCCAUUUGUGAGCACGGAGAGGCAUUGGGACGUUUUGCCAACUGGUUGUGAUGUGUGUUUGAUGUUGAGGACCCUUUGGGUGGGGAAGUAUUGAUUUGGGACUCUGUCCUCGGUCAUCCUCUUGGUAAAUCUGGACAGUCUAUCUUCUGUGUGAGUGUAUAUUCCAUUUGUGUGGAUGCACCACUUGUAGGAACCAUUCCUGGAUAGUAAAUUCCAGACAUGAUGGUGAGGACUCUUGGCCAUGGCCAUCAGAAUUGAUGUCUUUACGUUUUGAGCCUUGGACCUAUCAGCUGAUGGUAAAAGAAGGGGAACGAGAAAAAAAGUGAAAAGAAAAUGAAGGCAAUGGGCAGUGAACCUCAACUUUAAGGUUUAUUUGUCAUGGAAAGGGUAUGAAGAUGGAAGAAUAGAAAAAUAAUGAAAAUUGCAAAAAGAGAUCAUAUUGUACAUUAAAGUAAUUUAAUUCUGCUGUCACUUUCAGAAACUAUGUGAUUAACUGGAGGCAUAUAGGAAAGUUGUACAGUAUUGUUUGAUGAGUACAUGGUGAUAGAGACGCUUCAGAGCUUAGUUUGAGAAGUUAGGAAAGACUGUCCUGCAAGGAUGAUCCUACAAAACAGUCUGCAGUUACCAUGGAAAGACAGGAAAAUUGUUUACAGAUAGAGAUUGCAAAAUAUAUCUAUGGUCAAAGACUUGAGGGAUAUAAUAUAAGCUUUCCUGGUGGCUCAGAGGGUAAAGCGUCUGCCUGCAAUGCAGGAGACCUGGGUUCGAUCCCUGGGUCAGGAAGAUCCCCUGGAGAAGGAAAUGGCAACCCACUCCAGUACUCUUGCCUGGAAAAUCCCACGGACAGAGGAGCCUGGUGGACUACAGUCCAUGGGAUCGCAAAGAGUCGGACAUGACUGAGCGACUUCACUUUCACUUUCACUUUCAAGGAG
ensembl:lncRNA